UACGGGGGGAGCAAGCGUUGUUCGGAUUUACUGGGCGUAAAGGGCGCGUAGGCGGUCAGCACAAGUCAGUUGUGAAAUCUCCGGGCUUAACUCGGAAAGGUCAACUGAUACUGUGCGACUAGAGUGCGGAAGGGGCAACUGGAAUUCUCGGUGUAGCGGUGAAAUGCGUAGAUAUCGAGAGGAACACCUGCGGCGAAGGCGGGCUGCUGGGCCGACACUGACGCUGAUGCGCGAAAGCCAGGGGAGCGAACGGG
rnacentral:rRNA from 1 species